rnacentral:tRNA from 1 species
GCCGCGGUAGCUCAGUGGUAGAGCACAUCGCUGAAAACGAUGGGGUCGAGGGUUCGAUUCCCUCCUGCGGCAC